rnacentral:rRNA from 1 species
GUUUGAUCUCAAAUCAGGUAGGACUACCCGCUGAACUUAAGCA